GCACGGAGUUAGCCGGGGCUUCCUCUGGUGGUACAGUCAGGGGCGGAGGAUAUUAGCCCCCACCCGAUUCUUCCCACCUGACAGGGUUUUACGACCCGAAGGCCUUCAUCACCCACGCGGCGUUGCUGCGUCAGGCUUUCGCCCAUUGCGCAAGAUUCCUCACUGCUGCCUCCCGUAGGAGUCUGGACCGUGUCUCAGUUCCAAUGUGGCCGAUCGCCCUCUCAGGCCGGCUACCCAUCGUCGCCUUGGUGGGCCAUUACCCCGCCAACUAGCUAAUGGGCCGCGGGCCCCUCCUCAAGUGAUAGCUUGCAAGCAUUGGCCAUCUUUGAUUCCCAGCCCCGAAGGACCGGGAAUGUAAUCCGGUAUUAGCCCACCUUUCGGCGGGUUAUUCCGAGCUCGAGGGUAGGUUACCCACGUGUUACUCACCCGUUCGCCACUUUACCGGGGAUAUUGCUAUCCCUUUCUCGUUCGACUUGCAUGUGUUAGGCACGCCGCCAGCGUUCGUU
rnacentral:rRNA from 1 species